UGAGCAAUCUGCCCUUCUCAUCGGAAUAAGCGUUGGAAACGACGUCUAAUGCCGAAUACGACCUCCUUUCGCAUGAUCGGAGGUGGAAAGCUCCGGCGGAGAAGGAUGAGCUCGCGGCCUAUCAGCUAGUUGGUGUGGUAAUGGCCCACCAAGGCGACGACGGGUAGCCGGCCUGAGAGGGUGACCGGCCACACGUGGGACUGAGACACGGCCCAGACCUCCGUACGGGAGCAG
rnacentral:rRNA from 1 species